UACGGAGGAUGCAAGCGUCAUCCGGAUUUAUUGGGUUUAAAGGGUGCGCAGGUUGUUUGAUAAGUCAGUGGUGAAAGUCUGUCGCUUAACGGUAGGAUUGCCAUUGAUACUGUUAGACUUGAAUAUGGAUGAGGUAGGCGGAAUGUGUAGUGUAGCGGUGAAAUGCAUAGAUAUUACACAGAACACCGAUUGCGAAGGCAGCUUACUAAUCCAUCAUUGACGCUGAGGCACGAAAGCGUGGGGAGUCAAACA
rnacentral:rRNA from 1 species